UUGAAUUGUUUAAUGUUUUCAUUGAAAGGAAAUUCAAUGUUUUGCUUGGGGUUUUUGUGAUACAACGGUUUGAAAGUUUAGAAAUUUUUUUUCUGUCCGAGAAAGUACGUAACUAGCACUCGAUAUUUAAAGAGAGUUUUUUUAAGCUUGAUAGGGAGCUUUCGAUGUGAAAACUUUCAUUUAUGCCAAAAAAUCGAAAGCUUUUAAGUUUGAUAAGGAGCUUUCGAUGUGAAAACCCUCGUUUAUGGAAAUCUGUUAUGAGGACUUGAAAGGAAAGUAUUAAAACAACGAGCAAAUAUUCCGUUUAAAUAGUUCUCUCAGUUUCAGGCACCUAUAACAAGCAAUUAAGGUUUUACCCCUCCAAAUACAAUUGAAACUAAUUUGAAUGCAAACCACGUUGCGAGAGUUCUCUUGCUCAAACCAUCAAUCGAACGCAGUAAAAAUUUCACUUUGGCGUGAGAGAAUACUUGAAUCCUAACUUUGUGAAUUAAUUAGUCAAAGCUUUGUUGAACUUGAAACAGUGACAAAAUUUGACAAAAAGCAAUAAGCUUAACUUCUCAGUGGUCCUUCUCAAACCACUAAAGUUAUAUCUGAGAUGAAAUGGGAAAAAGCAACAUUAUUACCAUUUUAUCUCGAAUUUUGUGGAAUCAUCUUUCUUAAGGAGGCAAAUUGUAGAAACAAAAGAGCCAAUUGAAUUGAAAACGAAUAGUAAAAAAAGAAUCACUUCGAUACCUGUCAUUAUAUAAUCUAAGAUCCAGUAAAGGUUUCUUCGCUAUUAACUCGACGUUAUUAGGUGAUCUUAUAUACAAGAUAUUAGGCAAUUUCUAUUUCAAAUGGAAAUACCACAGCCAAAUGAGUUCCACACGCAAGAAACAAAAUCCAAAAUACGAAGUUGCCACAAUAAAGGAACUAAUAGUUCGGCAGCUUGGGUCCCUAACAUGAAGACUUUGCAAAAAAAAAAGUUUUGAAUAUUUUAUGCAGAAUAUCUUUAUAAGCAAUCAAUUUUACUAUAUAUAAUACAAGUAUAUUUCAAUAUCGUAGCAAA